UACGUAGGGUGCAAGCGUUGUCCGGAAUUAUUGGGCGUAAAGAGCUCGUAGGCGGUUUGUUGCGUCGGCUGUGAAAUCCCGAGGCUCAACCUCGGGUCUGCAGUCGAUACGAGCAAACUAGAGUGUUGCAGGGGAGACUGGAAUUCCUGGUGUAGCGGUGAAAUGCGCAGAUAUCAGGAGGAACCCCGGUGGCGAAGGCGGGUCUCUGGGCAACAACUGACGCUGAGGAGCGAAAGCGUGGGGAGCGAACAGG
rnacentral:rRNA from 1 species